CUAAUUUUACGGAAGUAUUCAUAUACAUUACACGUCCUUGAAUCACCUUAAUUAUUAUCCACAUAACGGCUACCAACAAUCACCAUUUCUCUGUUUAUUGUGCCUUCAAUUCACUCUCGUGGUUUGCCAUAGACAGUCCAAUGGUCGCUAUUAGGUCGUUGUCUUUGUUACUUUUACUCGCUUGGUAUCAAUUUUGGUCGCUCUGUGAUUCCCCUUCAGUUGGGUUCUCAUGUUACUUGGAAAAGACUCAGGCUUGACAGUUAACUGGGCUGCACUUUUGUCUUACACGUUACAGAUCCGUUACAGAUCAAUUUGCAUGCAAACAUAAUGAACAAAAGCGCUGUGUGAGAAUGGGACAUCAAUUCGAGGAAAAUACCCAGCGAUCCGGACGACGACCUCUUGGAAAGUUAUUAAAGAUUUCGUUGACUACCAAUUUGUUCACAAAUGUUUAAAAUCACAGUCAGAUCCGGUUUGGUUUGAAAGAUCACACCUGAUUAUGUUCCUUAUAACUUUAUGGUAAAUCAACAAGUAAAACUUACAUGUCAGAUAUAAGUGGAGAUCUCAUAAAAGAGUCACCCAAAAGUGAAGGAAAGAUUGACCAACUAAGCAAUUACUUUCAUGCAAAAUAUCAGUUGAUUUGGUUUACGCAAAUGAAAUGGAGUGAGGUGAUAAUACAGCAGAAGAAGAGGAAAAAUGAAUCAAUGUGCAGAUGCAACUAGCAUAACCAUGCUGUUAAAAUUUUGAAGGCAACAAUACAAACCAUGCUUGUUGGAUAAUCAUUCUGGAAACGAUACAAACUCUGGCCAUUGAAACAGGUUUCUUUUUUUCUUCUUUUCAUCUUACAUGUUUAAAAUAAACCAAACAAAGCAUCAUCAUCAUCAUAACCCGUCAAAUUCAAUCAGUGUUGAUCAAUGUUGAUUGAUAUUUGUUUUUCUCCUUCUCUCGGUCUGCUUGAUUCAAAUGUAACAUAAAACGCAUUAGCUGACAGUCAAAAAGGGGAAGUAUUAUUUCCAUCCUUUCACUUUCCAUGUAUUUGAACAACCUGUCAUAUAAGCCCAAUGAACUGACUUCAAGAGUUGAUCGUUAUUGUAAUUGUAAUGAACCUGUGUUAUUUAACCAGGAUUGUUAACAUGCAGAUGAAGGAAAAGGCGAAGAAAAAUCAGGAUAAAGUGUGAAAACCACUAGAAACAAAACUGAAAACAGUCGAUGGCACUUUAGAUAAUACUUCAUCAUUAAAUUAUCUGGACAUCUGAUUGUGAUCAGGUCAAUUCUGCCAAUUACCGAUGCUAAAUGUGUUAAAUGGUGCUGAUGAACAUGGAUAGCAAAUGAAUUGAAACAAGUGUUAAUAGUUUUUGCUGGUUCUGUGAAUUUCUUAAUGAUUUGGAAUGAAAAGCGAAAACCCCAAAUUCGACGACUGAUAUGAUUUCAAAUAUAACAUUGGGGCUAUAAAAAUGUCCAGAAAGGAAUCACCUGGGCUGUUGGGAUGAUUGCUGAUCUUACCUUAUCUAAUUGUGGCUCGCAAUUUGGCAAAGCAAUGUGAGAAAGUUGUUGCGAUAAGAAAAAAAAUUUCCAAACUUACAUGAUAACAAGCUGAGUCUCCAAGUUUUUUCAGUUAAAGACUCAAAAAGAAACGUAAAGAGGGAAGAAAGGAAAAGAUAAUUUGAACGGAGGAAACAGAAGGAGGUUCACGAAACGGAAAGAAAGCGAUCAGGAUGGUGAAGGAGGAAAAGCAGGGGAAAAUAAAGGAUCUUGAGGAUGAUGAUGGUAAUCAAAAGAGAUCUCGUUAACGUCGGCAAAUAGUCAAGAGUUAUUUUUCUUAAUGGUUUCAAAACAGUUAAGAAUUUUUAACCAACAUGAUGAUGAUGAUGGAGGUGAUGUUGAAAAUGGUUAAAAUGGAAAUAGUUAGGUGUUGAAAAAACUCAGCAUCAUCUGGAACUAGAUAAGACAGGUCAUCAUACAAUUGAUGCUGUUUUUAUUUCCUUUUUUUACCUUCAAUCCUUACCAUUUUUGACGAUCUCUUUAUUCAUCAUUUCACCAUCAUCUUGUUUUACCCUUUUUUUCAUCACAAUAGCUUGCACCUAUUAUCUAUUAGCUACUAUUUAAUAGCUUGGUAAAGCUAAAAAUUGAGAAUCUAGAAAAUUAUUAUGAAAAUUUAUCAGCGUUUUAAAAAAGGCCAUUUUCCUUUUAUGCAUUUUAUUGAAAAAAAGAUUUUGAUUGUUAACUUGUCCAUUUAAAAUUUGAAAUAGCUGGAGAUAUUGAUUGAGCAGAUUGAUCAAACAUGGGGCAAACAAUGCUUAUAUAAAAUCAAGAUUUCAUUUUACCUUCUACCAUUAAUUCAUGACUGGGAAAUUUAUUGUAAAUUCAAAUUGUAAAAAUCAAUGUCAUUCGCAAAUAGGUUGAUGUGUUUGAAAUGAUCUGAUUUCUAUGAGUAAAAUGAAUAAAUAGUCAUUAAUUUGA